UUAAGUUUAAAAGUAAUAGUUACCUAACUAUCAAAAUAUUGUUUGUCAAAAACAUAAUAAUAUAUUAUUCAAUAUUAAUUUAAUUUCUAGUAUAAAAAUAAAGAACUACUUAAAUAUUUUUACAACAUUUUUAUAUUAUGGAUAGUGUAAUAUAUUCACAAAUAAAUUUAACUUUACCUAGUAAUUAUAAUAAUGGACAAGAAUGUGAAGACAUCCGUCAGUAUGUUUUACAGCAAAAUAUUUUACGAACACCUAACAACAGAAUUACAAUAGAUUACUCACAAGAUGAUUAUAGAAAUAUGAUUAUUACAAAACCAACUAUUUCAAGAAAAAAAAAAUCAAAAGAGGAAAAAAAGUCUCAAAAUGUAUCAAAAAUACUUUGAAAAUACUUAUAGAAAUAUAAUAAACACAUGUAAUAUUACCAUGUAUAUUAAAUAUAUAUAGACCAAUUUCUAUGUUUUUGGCAAUGAAAAGUUGUAUAGUAAUUGUAUCACAAGAAUUAUGCAUCAUAUGAUAUCAAUAAUAAUUAAAUUUUUCUUUUAAAAAGUGAAUACAAUAAAUAAGAUCAGAUAUCACAUAAUAAUUUGUUAAAUAUAAUAAAAUAUAUGAAGUAUA